UACGGAGGGGGCUAGCGUUGUUCGGAAUUACUGGGCGUAAAGGGCUCGUAGGCGGCCAACUAAGUCGGAUGUGAAAUCCCCAGGCUUAACCUGGGAACUGCAUCCGAUACUGGAUGGCUUGAAUCCGGGAGAGGGAUGCAGAAUUCCAGGUGUAGCGGUGAAAUGCGUAGAUAUCUGGAGGAAUACCGGUGGCGAAGGCGGCAUCCUGGACCGGCAUUGACGCUGAUGAGCGAAAGCUAGGGGAGCAAACGGG
rnacentral:rRNA from 1 species